rnacentral:RNase_P_RNA from 2 species
GAGGCACGCCGGGCAAUCGCUGUUUGCGUAAGCGAAGAGAGGAAAGUCCGAACACCAUAGGGCAUCGAGCCGGAUAACGUCCGGGAUUGCAUGAAAGUGCAAGACGACAAGUGCAACAGAGAGUAAACCAGCCCGCAAGGGUGAUGGGUGAAAGGGUGAGGUAAGAGCUCACCGGCGUCGGUGGUAACAUCGGCGGCCAGGUAAACUCCUCGUGGUGCAAGAUCAAAUAGGGGAUCGCGUAAUUUGUGCGGCCCGUGCAAUGCUUCUUCGGAAGCCGCAGAUCCCGGGUAGAUCGCUUGAGCCGUCGGGUAACCGCCGGCCUAGAUGAAUGAUUGCCAUUUGCCGCAAGGUAGAUACAAAAUUCGGCUUACAGGCGUGCCUCAUAG